GAGAGUCUCUGAACACUUCAUUUCAUGUGCAUCUGCGUCAGAAUGUUUUUUUCAUUUUUUUUUUCCAUUGGAAAACAGAAUAGGGUGAUAGCUAGCCUGUGAUCUUUUAUUCAUUCAUUCGUCCUCCUCUCCUCACUCCUCGCCUCCGCACCAGGGAGCUCAGCAUCUGACAGCCCGCGCUGAAAACCACCAGCUGGAGUGACAACAAGAGGAGAGGAGAGGAGGAGGUAGGAAAGAAAAGGAGAGGAGAGGAAGUCUGUGCAUGUGUGUGCGUGUGUGUGUGUGUGUGUGUGUCAGAGGACAGGAGGGCAGUCAGGGGCACAAUGUGCUGACAGCAGCCCAGCCCUCGAAGCAGAGCAGAUGGUUAGGACAGGACCGGCUGUGGCUCCAGAUCAAAACCUCACCGCUCAGAAGUCACAAGCUCAAAAUGAUAUCAACUCUCAGUCAAAUUUGCUCAGAACAGCUGAAGCUGAAGGGAUCGUCAUUCAUUUUGCAGCCAGCCAGUCUAACAGGUAGGAGCGUUUGCUAGUAUGUGUCGCUGAAAUGAUGAAGGCCACCGCAGAUAUUUCUGGUCUUUUCCUGUCCCUCAAGGUCCACACACACACACACACACACACACACACACACACACACACACACACACGCACACACGCAAGCACACACACACACACACACACACACACACUUAGUGCUCCAAGUUGCCAUGGCAAUCUGAUGAUGGGGAGCUAUGAUUGAAUGGCUGAGGUAGAGAUGUACAUGUGCUGUGAUUGCCACAGUGUGCUGCCAUUGAUUUCGACUUCCACGUCAGAGACCGACUGCAGUUAUUACUAUUUCUGGUGAGCGCUGAGCUCCGGUAAUUUCACUCAAUCACAUUUAGAGCAGAAGUGUGGCGUCAUUCAGGGUGCAAGACUAGACAUGUAUGUUCGACGUCCACCAAUUUAGCCAAUUUAGCCUGUGAGAUUGUUUUCCAAACAGUUGCCUGGGGCCACACGGGGCACUAACGUCAGCCCAGGGCCGAUCUCCACACUCACUCUAUCAACAACAGACCACAUAUACUGUCAACAUUUUGUUGUUCCAUUUUCUAAGCUUAAUGUUUUUGCCAAUCUGCAGAAAAAUAUCCAAAAAUAGUUAAAACAGCAAAGUAUCCUCAGUUGCACUCCCAUAUCUAAGGCAACAGGAAUAAAUACAUGCAUCACUACGAAGCUCUGGUAGCUCUGAGUGAGUGUGCCUCCACCUGACAGAACAGACUACACAGGUCUACAUUUUUAAGAUUAUAUCUGUGCGUAUCCAUCUUUUGCUUGGCUACAUACAGUAGCAUGAUAAAAUUUUUAAAAAAAACACAGAAUCAAGUCCAGUAAGGUAGGCGUGGCAUGCUGAGGGCGAGCGUGCUGUAUGUGAUUUCUCUUUUAAACCCUUGUGAUAUCUCUGUCAUUUUACAGCAUUUGGUGGCGCUUUCCUCCCGGGCAUCUCUCCUUUUAAAGCUCUUCCUCUCAUUAGUCCUUUUAAUGUUGUUCCUCCACGCUCUAUCUUUUCUCUCAUCUUGUUCUAUCGCUCUCCGGCCGGUGACACUGACUGCAUGUGUCUGUGCUUGCAACUGAUCACAUGUGAUUACGGGCAGAGAUGAUGCGACCAGGUUAAAAUCAGGCGAGAGGACUGAGAGUCUACAGCUCUGAGGGACUGUAGCUGCCCGAUGGUGUUUCUUUUUUGAUUCGCGCGUUUCACUUUUAACGCUGGCCUGACACUCCAGGUCAACUUUCCAGUUCAGGCUUGACCUUCAACGUCGAGA